AGUAACGCGUGAGCAACCUGCCUUGAAGUGGGGGACAACAGUUGGAAACGACUGCUAAUACCGCAUAAAAUAUCUGCAUCGCAUGGUGCGGAUAUCAAAGAUUUAUCGCUUCGAGAUGGGCUCGCGUCUGAUUAGGUAGUUGGCGGGGUAAUGGCCCACCAAGCCGACGAUCAGUAGCCGGACUGAGAGGUUGAACGGCCACAUUGGGACUGAGAUACGGCCCAGACUCCUACGGGAGGCAGCAG
rnacentral:rRNA from 1 species